UCUCCUAUGGUGUAGUGGUUAGCACUCCAGACUCUGAAUCUGGCGACCGCGGUUCGAAUCCGCGUAGGAGAA